rnacentral:rRNA from 1 species
CACGUAGGCACCAAGCGUUGUCCGGAUUUAUUGGGCGUAAAGAGCUCGUAGGCGGUUCGGUAAGUCGGGUGUGAAAACUCUGGGCUCAACCCAGAGACGCCACCCGAUACUGCUGUGACUUGAGUACGGUAGGGGAGUGGGGAAUUCCUGGUGUAGCGGUGAAAUGCGCAGAUAUCAGGAGGAACACCGGUGGCGAAGGCGCCACUCUGGGCCGAAACUGACGCUGAGGAGCGAAAGCGUGGGUAGCAAACAGG